GUGUCCGCCGCCCUGGAGGAGGAAGGCCCGAUCCCUCAUAUGGAUCGGGCCUUCUCGCGUUCCUCCACGUCGGGCGCU
rnacentral:tRNA from 1 species